GUGUAGCUCAGAGGCAGAGCCCGUGUCUAACAUGUAUAAGACUCUGGGUUUGAUUCCCAGCAC
rnacentral:tRNA from 1 species